rnacentral:rRNA from 1 species
AAUGGGGGAAACCCUGACGCAGCAACGCCGCGUGGGUGAUGAAGGCCUUCGGGUCGUAAAGCCCUGUCGGGAGGGAAGAAAUGAUAGUCGGUUAAUACCCGGUUUUCUUGACGGUACCUCUGAAGGAAGCACCGGCUAACGCCGUGCCAGCAGCCGCGGUAAUACGGAGGGUGCAAGCGUUGUUCGGAGUUAUUGGGCGUAAAGCGCGUGUAGGCGGNUUGUUAAGUCUGAUGUGAAAGCCCUGGGCUCAACCUGGGAAGUGCAUUAGAAACUGGCAGACUUGAAUACGGGAGAGGGUAGUGGAAUUCCUAGUGAAGGAGUGAAAUCCGUAGAUAUUAGGAGGAACACCGGUGGCGAAGGCGGCUACCUGGACCGAUAUUGACGCUGAGACGCGAAAGCGUGGGGAGCAAA